AUGUCUCUGUUCUCGUCUCAAAUCGUCUUAUCUCAACACGGUAUGGCUAUCGUCUAUGCUUCAGUCGCGGAUUCUCUGACAAGUCCUCUUCGAAUUGCCGGAUUCAACCCCUUUCUCCCUCAUAUGAGAUGUUCUUUUUCCUUCCCAGAUUCGCCUCAACGCACGGCCUCCAUCUUGCUUCAUCGUCUUCUCGAGACUUCUCUCUUUUGCCUCACUAAACUCGCUCUGAUUCGCGUCAAUCUCCGUUGUACCUUUUAG